UCAUUCUGAUUUCCUUUUGGGAAGCCUCCCCACCCCAUCCUCAGCCUGUUGUUCAGAAGGGGCUGACCAGAGGCUAGGGGUUGCAGGGAUAGAUAACUAGCCCAGGCUUAGCCAAUCACUGCAUACAUUGCCUUUGCCAUAAUAAUUGGUUGAAGGAUAAAUUUCUGACCUAAGCUAGGCCAGUAAGGCUCAACUGCAACUCUUUUUUAGAACUAUGGGGAAAGAAGCAUUCCUCCCCCUGAGAUUUCACUAUAAUUAUGCACUAGGAUCCCAUGUUAACGGGGAGUGUUUAAUCCCAGGACUUUUCAGAGCCAUGAUAUUUAUAUGGACAGGAGCCAGGGAAAUACCGGGUAGAAGAGGGCAGUCCCUGGUGAGGGCCAUACCUUCAAGCCUGGGACUGUGGCCCAAAGUGAGAACAUGUAUUCCUGUUUUUCCACUCAAAUGUUGCCUUAUGGCCUUCCCCACACCCCAUCCUGUACCCAUAAAAACCCCAGGCUUCACUGGCAGAACUGCAGUGUGGCAGAGCGGCAGAGAGGGAGAGAUGAGGCAGGCAGACAUCAGAGAGAAGCAGCUUGACUUCAAAGGCACAGCUUGAUGGCAGGACUUUGGAGAAGAGUUUGGCCGGGGACAGAGGAACUCCAGGGGAAGACUACCUUCCCACUCGAUCCACUUUCCAGCUCCCCAUCCUGCUGAGAGCCACUUCCACCACUCAAUAAAAUCCUCCACAUUCUCCACUCUUCAAUUUGUUUGUGCAACCUGAUUCUUCCUGGAUACCAGACAAGAACUCAGGUACCAAGAGGGUACAUGCAAAAGGAUAUCACCCUGACCCUCCACUGAGCUAUUAAACACUUAAGCCAUCCGUGAAUGGCAAAGCUAAAAGAGCACAUUGUAACACACCCACUCUGGGGCUCCGCAGGUUACAGGUACCCUACAAGAUACCACCAUGGGGCAGCACAGAGUUAUACUCCUGUUGGCACCCAGGAGCACUCGAUCUGGCCUCUGCACCUGCUCACCUGCAUGCUCCCCCUCCUGUGAAGGCUUGAGAGCUGCAGGCUGAGUAAAUGAGCCAACUUCUUCAUGAGUCCUGUGAAGAGAUCAAGGGAACUAUCUCGUUUCAGUGAGUCUUUGUCUAUUCGGGCUGCCAUAACAAAAUACCAUAGACUGGAUGGCUUAAACAACAUAAAUUUAUUUCUCAACGUAAUGGAGGCUGGAAAUUUCCUAUCAUGAUGCUGGGAAGACCAGUGCAAUGGGACCAACAAGCCAUUAGGAUGGAAAAGGCCAUCUAGUGGUGGUUCAAAGCAAGGCCUCUGGAGUCUGGCUGCCUGGGUUUGAAUUCCAGCUCUGCCAUUUACUUAGCCUCCCUCUGUGGGAAUGAACCCACCUGCAAAAUGGUAUGUACACAAGUCUCUACCUUGGGAAUCAUUAUGAUGAUCUGAUGCAUUAAUAUUUAUAAAGUACCUAGAAUAAUUGCUGGCACUCUGCUGUAAUAAUUUUGCUCCACAGAUCUGAGUUAAAUCUCUACUUGUGCUCUUAUUAGUAUAUGACUACGUAAGCUAACUUUUCCAAGCUUCUUUUUUCUACUGAGUAAAAAGAGGAUGAGUAAUCAUUUUGGGCAAUAGUACAUAUAAGUUUACUAGCACACGUCCUGCCAUAGUAAACACUCAAUAAAUGAUGUGUGAACAAAUGAACAAAUUGCAAUUAGAGAAUGAAGUUCUCCUUUUUGUCUAAAAAUUUUUACUUUAAAUUUAAGCAUAUUUAAUUUUGGGUGCUUAAUAGAUUUAUUAGAUUGAUCUAUUUUUUUUUUACUUUAGAAAGCAUGAGUCACCUAAUGCUCAUAUAUAAUUACAUAGAAAUGACAAUUGUGCCCAAAUGAGACAGAAUAAUUUAGUUGAGCAUUUGAUAAUCGUGCUCUCCACAACUCUUAUGAAAUCUGUUGUUAAAAAAUAUGAGGGCAAAGUGAAAGCCUAACAUGAGCUGUGUAAUUAGCAAUUAUUUGGAUGGAUUAGUUUUCUGAGAAACUUUCUGUAAUGGAACAAAUCAUGGCCUAUGAAAAUUAUACUCUGUGUAUUGAAAAUAAAGACCAAAAUAGCAGAAUGGAUUGCCUCUUUCUGACUUAUUUAGUCAAAGCAAGGCUUAUUCUAAGUCAGGACUCUACUUGACGUUAGAUGAGCUUUAUAUAAAUAUAACUCCCCUUUAGCAAAAAAAUAUGAUGAUGAAGUUAUUUUGCAGGUGAAUUCACAUUAUAAGUAAGUUAAAUCUUUCUACUUUGCCUGAGUCUGUGAGUGUUAGAAGCUGAGUUCUCUUUCUUAUCAGGGAAAUGGAUGUGUGUACCAAAUAGACUAUAAAGGAUGAGGUUUUGUUCCCAAUUGCACUUACAAUUUUUCUAUUUAAAAAUAAUUACUAUAAAAGUUAAUAAAGAUGUGUUUAAAGAAAAAGUUAAAUGCUUUUUUAUCCCCCACCACUUCCCUAUCUGGUCUUAACUGCCCGAGGUAACCAAUAUUAUCCAUGUAUUUCCUUUUUUCAUGAAAAUGAAAUUGUAUUGUAAACUUUAUUCUGCAUUUUGCUUUUUUUGUUGUUGUUGUUAUCAGUAUGUG
rnacentral:lncRNA from 10 species